GAUGAACGCUAGCGGCAGGCUUAACACAUGCAAGUCGAGGGGUAGAGGUUGCUUGCAACCUUGAGACCGGCGCACGGGUGCGUAACGCGUAUGCAACCUACCUUUUACAGAGGGAUAGCCCAGAGAAAUUUGGAUUAAUACCUCAUAGUAUAUAACCUUCGCAUGUUGGUUAUGUUAAAGUUCCAACGGUAAAAGAUGGGCAUGCGUCCUAUUAGCUAGAUGGUAAGGUAACGGCUUACCAUGGCUACGAUAGGUAGGGGUCCUGAGAGGGAGAUCCCCCACACUGGUACUGAGACACGGACCAGACUCCUACGGGAGGCAGCAGUGAGGAAUAUUGGACAAUGGGCGCAAGCCUGAUCCAGCCAUGCCGCGUGCAGGAAGACGGUCCUAUGGAUUGUAAACUGCUUUUGUACGGGAAGAAACACUCCUACGUGUAGGAGCUUGACGGCACCGUAAGAAUAAGGAUCGGCUAACUCCGUGCCAGCAGCCGCAGUAAAAC
rnacentral:rRNA from 1 species